rnacentral:rRNA from 1 species
AGAACGAACGCUGGCGGCAGGCUUAACACAUGCAAGUCGAACGCUCGUAGCAAUACGGGAGUGGCAGACGGGUGAGUAACGCGUGGGAACAUACCUUUUGGUUCGGAACAACACAGGGAAACUUGUGCUAAUACCGGAUAAGCCCUUACGGGGAAAGAUUUAUCGCCGAAAGAUUGGCCCGCGUCUGAUUAGCUAGUUGGUGAGGUAACGGCUCACCAAGGCGACGAUCAGUAGCUGGUCUGAGAGGAUGAUCAGCCACAUUGGGACUGAGACACGGCCCAAACUCCUACGGGAGGCAGCAGUGGGGAAUAUUGGACAAUGGGCGCAAGCCUGAUCCAGCCAUGCCGCGUGAGUGAUGAAGGCCCUAGGGUUGUAAAGCUCUUUGUGCGGGAAGAUAAUGACGGUACCGCAAGAAUAACGCCCCGGCUAACUUCGUGCCAGCAGCCGC